CGGGUGAGUAACACGUGAGGAACCUACCCUUUAGUGGGGAAUAACCCGCAGAAAUGCGGGCUAAUACCGCAUAUGGUUGGAUGUGGACAUCCACGACCAACUAAAGAUUUAUCGCUAGAGGACGGCCUCGCGGCCUAUUAGCUAGUUGGUGGGGUAACGGCCUACCAAGGCGAUGAUGGGUAGCUGGUCUGAGAGGACGACCAGCCACACUGGGACUGAGACACGGCCCAG
rnacentral:rRNA from 1 species